rnacentral:rRNA from 1 species
GUCUAUGGCCAUGCUACUCUGAACACGCCCGAUCUCAUCUGAUCUCAGAAGCUAAGUAGAGUCGGGCCUGGUUAGUACUUGGAUGGGAGACCACCUAGGAAUACCAGAUGCUGUAGGCA